ACCAAGAGUGCAGAAGGUGAAAGAUUUAGGAUGUCUGCUGCAAGCUGGGAAGAAAUUUGUCAUGGGACCGGAAGGAUCCAUUUGAUAUGGUCCACAUAUAGGUCCUAGUGACACAGAGUGGACUGGAAGAGAGCUUGAGCUGAGGAGGAAUGAGCAGCUCGGGGCAAAAUUAGAAAGCAGAAUUCCAGCUCUGUGCAAGAUGGCGGCAGGGGAAUGGAGGAGCUGGCAAUGUCCUGGAGGCGAAUCCCGGAGCAGGGAGCAAGUCCCGGGCAGAGGCUAGCACUGGGAAUCAAGUCCUGGAGCAGAGGCCAGUGCACAGAAGUGAAUCCUGGAGCAGAGGCCAGCACAGGGAAGCAGCUGAGAGCCAGUGUGGAGCGGACUGGAGGCAUGGAACAGAACAGAACAGAGAUGGUUGUUGUAUUGGGUCUAGUCUAGUCCAGGUGGUCAGACCACGUGUGGAAGUCCUUGUGCUGAGCUACUGAAGCGUAAUGUUUAUUUGUAAUUUGUUUAUCUGACUGUAAUGUCUACUCUUUUAACUCGGUCUUAUUUCUAACUUAUACUACGAAUCACUGUAAAGUAAUGCUACAAUUUUUCUUUUUUAUUCCUCUUUUUGUGUCUAAGAUUUGUACCUCUGCACUUAUAACUAAGAUGGUGCCAUAACAGGGGACAUUAAAAAACUUUCACUGUA